rnacentral:rRNA from 1 species
UACGUAGGGGGCAAGCGUUGUCCGGAUUUAUUGGGCGUAAAGAGCGUGUAGGCGGCCAGUUAGGUCUGUUGUGAAAACUCGAGGCUCAACCUCGAGACGCCGAUGGAAACCAUUUGGCUAGAGUCCGGAAGAGGAGAGUGGAAUUCCUGGUGUAGCGGUGAAAUGCGCAGAUAUCAGGAAGAACACCCGUGGCUAAGGCAGCUCUCUAGUACGGUACUGACGCUGAGACGCGAAAGCGUGGGGAGCGAACAGG